rnacentral:rRNA from 1 species
UACGUAGGCAGCGAGCGUUGUUCGGAGUUACUGGGCGUAAAGAGUGCGUAGGCGGUUUUCUAAGUUUGGUGUGAAAUCUCCCGGCUUAACUGGGAGGGUGCGCCGAAAACUGGAAGGCUUGAGUAUGGGAGAGGUAAGCGGAAUUCCUGGUGUAGCGGUGAAAUGCGUAGAUAUCAGGAAGAACAUCGGUGGCGAAGGCGCUCUGCUGGACCAUAACUGACACUCAGGGACGAAAGCUAGGGGAGCGAAUGGG